rnacentral:rRNA from 1 species
CCUACGGGUGGCAGCAGUGGGGAAUAUUGGGCAAUGGAGGAAACUCUGAUCCAGCAACGCCGCGUGAAUGAUGAAGGUCCUCGGAUUGUUAAGCUCCUUUCUUAUGGGAGAAGAAAGUGACGGUACCUUAGCAAUAAGCCUCGGCUAACUACGUGCCAGCAGCCGCGGUAAUACGUCGGCGGCGACGUUUAUUCGGAAUGACUGGGGGUAAAGGGUGCGUAGGUGGUUUGUCAGGUUAGUAGUGUAACUACAAGGCUCAACCUCGCUCCGCCGUUGAAACUGGCGUUCUUGAGUGAGCGAGAGGUAUGCGGAAUGCGUGGUGUAGCGGUGAAAUGCAUAGAUAUCACGCAGAACUCCGAUUGCGAAGGCAGCAUACCGGCGCCCAACUGACGCUGAGGCACGAAAGCGUGGGUAUCGAACAGGAUUAGAUACCCCUGUAGUC